rnacentral:rRNA from 1 species
UACGGAGGGGACUAGCGUUGUUCGGAAUUACUGGGCGUAAAGCGCACGUAGGCGGAUUUGUAAGUCAGGGGUGAAAUCCCGGGGCUCAACCUCGGAACUGCCUUUGAUACUGCAAAUCUCGAGUCCGGAAGAGGUGAGUGGAAUUCCAAGUGUAGAGGUGAAAUUCGUAGAUAUUAGGAAGAACACCAGUGGCGAAGGCGGCUCACUGGUCCGGUACUGACGCUGAGGUGCGAAAGCGUGGGGAGCAAACAGG